rnacentral:rRNA from 1 species
GACGAACGCUGGCGGCGUGCUUAACACAUGCAAGUCGAACGGAAAGGCCCCUUUGGGGGUACUCGAGUGGCGAACGGGUGAGUAACACGUGAGUAACCUGCCCUUGACUUCGGGAUAACUUCAGGAAACUGGGGCUAAUACCGGAUAGGAAUCCUUGCUGCAUGGUGGGGGUUGGAAAGCUUCGGCGGUUUUGGAUGGACUCGCGGCUUAUCAGCUUGUUGGUGGGGUAGUGGCUUACCAAGGCUUUGACGGGUAGCCGGCCUGAGAGGGCGACCGGCCACAUUGGGACUGAGAUACGGCCCAGACUCCUACGGGAGGCAGCAGUGGGGAAUAUUGCACAAUGGGCGGAAGCCUGAUGCAGCAACGCCGCGUGCGGGAUGACUGCCUUCGGGUUGUAAACCGCUUUCAGCAGGGGCGAAGCUUGUGGUGACGGUACCUGCAGAAGAAGCACCGGCUAACUACGUG